AGGCAGCAGUGGGGAAUUUUGCGCAAUGGGCGAAAGCCUGACGCAGCAACGCCGCGUGAGUGAUGAAGGCUUUCGGGUCGUAAAGCUCUGUCGAGGGGAAAGAAAUGUAUUUAGGUUAAUACCCUUUAUACUUGACGGUACCCCUAAAGGAAGCACCGGCUAACUCCGUGCCAGCAGCCGCGGUAAUACGGGGGGUGCAAGCGUUGUUCGGAAUUAUUGGGCGUAAAGAGCGUGUAGGCGGUUUGUUUAGUCUGAUGUGAAAGCCCUGGGCUCAACCCAGGAAGUGCAUUGGAAACUGGCAGACUUGAAUACGGGAGAGGGCAGUGGAAUUCCUAGUGUAGGAGUGAAAUCCGUAGAUAUUAGGAGGAACACCGGUGGCGAAGGCGGCUGCCUGGACCGAUAUUGACGCUGAGACGCGAAAGCGUGGGUAGCAAACAGGAUUAGAUACCCUGGUAG
rnacentral:rRNA from 1 species